rnacentral:rRNA from 1 species
UACGAAGGGUGCAAACGUUGCUCGGAAUCAUUGGGCGUAAAGCGCACGUAGGCGGCUUCGCAAGUCGGAUGUGAAAUCCCUCGGCUCAACCGAGGACGUGCAUACGAAACUGCGAAGCUUGAGUACUGAAGAGGAUCGCGGAAUUCCCGGUGUAGAGGUGAAAUUCGUAGAUAUUGGGAAGAACACCGGUGGCGAAGGCGGCGACCUGGUCCUUGACUGACGCUGAGGCGCGAAAGCGUGGGGAGCAAACAGG